UACGAAGGGGGCUAGCGUUGCUCGGAAUCACUGGGCGUAAAGCGCACGUAGGCGGAUCUUUAAGUCAGGGGUGAAAUCCUGGAGCUCAACCCCAGAACUGCCUUUGAUACUGGGGAUCUCGAGUCCGGAAGAGGUGAGUGGAACUCCGAGUGUAGAGGUGAAAUUCGUAGAUAUUCGGAAGAACACCAGUGGCGAAGGCGGCUCACUGGUCCGGUACUGACGCUGAGGUGCGAAAGCGUGGGGAGCAAACAGG
rnacentral:rRNA from 1 species